rnacentral:tRNA from 1 species
AAAGCUUUAAGUUAAAAAAACUAUUAAUUUUCAAAGUUAAAAUUAUAAUAUAUUAUAAGCUUUA